rnacentral:rRNA from 1 species
AUUGAACGCUGGCGGCAGGCCUAAUACAUGCAAGUCGAACGAGUGGCGGACGGGUGAGUAAUGUCUGGGAAACUGCCUGACGGAGGGGGAUAACUACUGUAAACGGUAGCUACUACCGCAUACCAUCCUAUGUCCUCAGGUGGGAUUAGCUAGUGGGUGGGGUAAAGGCUCACCUAGGCGAAGAUCCCUAGCUGGUCUGAGAGGGUGACCGGCCACACUGGAACUGAGACACGGUCCAGACUCCUACGGGAGGCAGCAGUGGGGAAUAUUGGGCAAUGGGCGAAAGCCUGAGGCAGCCAUGCCGCGUGUAUGAAGAAGGCCUUCGGGUUGUAAAGCACUUUCAGCGGGGAGGCGUUACUCGCAGAGGAAGCACCGGCUAACUCCGUGCCAGCCGCCGCGGUAAUUC